ACGGUGGAUGUGGCUUCCAUUGGAUUCAUGUGUCCGAAAAUGAUUUCAGAAACCUACUUGCAUAGUGAUGCAGAUCGUAUCCUACUAUACAUAACAUGUGAUGGAAAAACAAAAAUCUAAGCAGUUCAUCUUAUGCCCAUACCAUGAAAAGAAUCAUUGGGUUCUUUUGGUCUUAUGCAUGGCUAAACGUGAAGUCAUCAUCUUUGAUUCUUUGAGGCAGAAGCGAAAUUUAGCAAUUAAGUUUGCAAUGACAAAAUAAGUCUAGUUUGUUAUUAAUGUCAUGAUUUUAUGUGUGUGUAAGGAUAAUAGAUGGUUUUACAUAUUAUGUAUAAAUAUGUUAUUUUUUUCAAAUGUGUAGUGCUUUUUGAAGUUUCAAGGCAUUAAGUGGACAAUAUAGGGGAAGUAAAUUGACAUGGCAUUUGGGACAGUGUCCUCAACAAUUGGAGGGAC